rnacentral:rRNA from 1 species
AGUCGAGCGGAUGACAGGAGCUUGCUCCUGAUUCAGCGGCGGACGGGUGAGUAAUGCCUAGGAAUCUGCCUGGUAGUGGGGGACAACGUUUCGAAAGGAACGCUAAUACCGCAUACGUCCUACGGGAGAAAGCAGGGGACCUUCGGGCCUUGCGCUAUCAGAUGAGCCUAGGUCGGAUUAGCUAGUUGGUGAGGUAAUGGCUCACCAAGGCGACGAUCCGUAACUGGUCUGAGAGGAUGAUCAGUCACACUGGAACUGAGACACGGUCCAGACUCCUACGGGAGGCAGCAGUGGGGAAUAUUGGACAAUGGGCGAAAGCCUGAUCCAGCCAUGCCGCGUGUGUGAAGAAGGUCUUCGGAUUGUAAAGCACUUUAAGUUGGGAGGAAGGGCAUUAACCUAAUACGUUAGUGUUUUGACGUUACCGACAGAAUAAGCACCGGCUAACUCUGUGCCAGCAGCCGCGGUGAUACAGAGGGUGCAAGCGUUAAUCGGAAUUACUGGGCGUAAAGCGCGCGUAGGUGGUUUGUUAAGUUGGAUGUGAAAUCCCCGGGCUCAACCUGGGAACUGCAUUCAAAACUGACAAGCUAGAGUAUGGUAGAGGGUGGUGGAAUUUCCUGUGUAGCGGUGAAAUGCGUAGAUAUAGGAAGGAACACCAGUGGCGA